UGGGGAAUUUUGGACAAUGGGCGCAAGCCUGAUCCAGCCAUUCCGCGUGCAGGACGAAGGCCUUCGGGUUGUAAACUGCUUUUGUACGGAACGAAAAGGCUCUGGCUAAUACCUGGGGCUCAUGACGGUACCGUAAGAAUAAGCACCGGCUAACUACGUGCCAGCAGCCGCGGUAAUACGUAGGGUGCAAGCGUUAAUCGGAAUUACUGGGCGUAAAGCGUGCGCAGGCGGUUAUGUAAGACAGAGGUGAAAUCCCCGGGCUCAACCUGGGAACUGCCUUUGUGACUGCAUAGCUGGAGUACGGCAGAGGGGGAUGGAAUUCCGCGUGUAGCAGUGAAAUGCGUAGAUAUGCGGAGGAACACCGAUGGCGAAGGCAAUCCCCUGGGCCUGUACUGACGCUCAUGCACGAAAGCGUGGGGAGC
rnacentral:rRNA from 1 species